CGUUUGAUGCAGCAAUUCAUAUUUUGUGUAACAUGAUUCUGUGAAACCACGAGUAUCUUUUGUAACUCUUCUAAAAUCCGCCACAGCAUUGAAUGGCCUCCGAACACUCGUAUCGUUCCCUCCGAUCGGUGACAGCUUGGCUCUAUUCCUCUUGGGUCGGUGCCAGACUCCAGAAGUCCGGAGGCGAGCAGGUGCAGCCAGCAUUCUGCCGGCUAUUCUAGGGCCACUAACAAGGCUAUUUAGUUACUAGUUGAAAAGGCAAAAAAAGAAUCAGAAUACAGAUUUUAAAAACAGCCUUUGAACAGGUGUAGUUGAAACGCAGAGGCUCUUUAAAGCUAAGAGUAGACCUGUUAAUCCUCCUCCCCUCCACUGUGGCCUCUGAGCUCGGCCCUGAACCCUCGCAGAUCGAGGAAAGCUGCGAGGAGCUAAUGACAUUUCCAGAGUAAGAGGAUAUGACAAAGAAAAGGGUUAGCCGCAAAUGUCUCCAGGCAGCCCUCUCCUAAGCCUACAGUUGCAGAUACAUUUUGACUGACGAUUCAAUAAAUGCUCAACACCUUCAUACGUCACCCGAAGAACGGCUUGUAUGAAUAUGUCAAUCAGAAUUUAAAAGGAAGGAGGCGAUGGGCAGGUUGUUCUCCUGGCAGGCCUGUCCGGGGUGCCAGUUGGAUUUGCAGGCCGAGCAGAACUCGAGGGCACAUACGGCGCACUGGACCAGCUGGGGCAGCGCGGGAGGAUCCACUUCCUUUAGUUGGCACACGGCCUGGCAGGUCGAGGAAGGGCACCACGUCCGGCACGGGUCCAGCAGCACCUCUAGUGGAACAGAACAAAGUACCGGUGUCACGGACAGAAGCCGCCCCUAAAAAGGAUUAAAAUCACUAAGAAAGGUUUUUAUCGAGACGCCUUUUCUGCUUCUUCUUCCACGCUGAAUCCUGGUACCUGCUUAUGUUAGAAAUUUGCUUCUUUACUUUUUGGCCGGCUGCAUCUAUGACGGACUUUUACAAACUCUUUUGAAUACGCGUGAACGAGACCUGCGUUAUGUGUUUCGCCCGUUUUAAUUUCGUGGUGCGAUGCUCUCGUAUCCUCUGCUUCCUUCCCCUAUGCUUCUCUGCCAAGGUCUCCCGAGCACAAAUUCCACAUGCACUCUUGGCCCAGUCUGUGAAAAAUGGAACGGUUUCAGCAACUGUUCUGCCUGGCUGGACUGGGACAUUGAUGAGACGGCUGACUGCCCUUAUCCAGGCAGGCAGCAUCACCAACCGUUUCUGCGGUUUGUAUUCAAUUACAGGACCCCUGCUCUGUGUUCAUGCAACUAUUUUGUUUUUCAGGGGAGAUCUGCUAGUGCACGUGUGUAGGUGGGAGAACCUGCAGAGCGACCAUCAUCAAAUAGCGAUAGCGCGGCUUGGUUGCGGCUUUCUCCGGUAGAGCGGAUGCUCUAAUAUUACUGAUUAGCGUGUCUUCGUUGACGGCAUGGAGCAACGCGGACAGGGUGUCUUUCCAGCAAUGACAUUGAAGCCUUUUACCAUUCGGGUUUAACAUUUAUUCUACAAACGAUGUUAACGGGAGACAUUGCAUACAUAGCUGCACACUCAAGCGGAGGUAAAAAGGAUACCUUGCUAUGCAAAGACACCUGCCCGCAUCAGAGAGUGUAGAGCCGAACCAAUCCAAUUAGAAUUUCUUCAAACAAAGUCUGGCAGUCUUUUCCUUUUAUGCAUUUUAGAGGGAAGCAAAAGUUACCCUUUAAUAAGAAUGACAGGGUUGAGUCAGAAAACUACAGUACAAAUGAGACAAAAGGCCCGAGUAUCACAACAUGCCUGUAUGAGCAUUUGUGGUUAAUGAAUGGUUCCAUCAUUUUUUGCUGUCAGAUGGGAAAAAUUGAGACUUUAUUCUAAAGCUGCGGCCUGCUGAUCGGUGCUAAAAUUGGCAAGAUUGAAGUCUACUGCAAAAACAAGCGUCGCUAGACCUUUUCUUCCGAGUUUCCCCACAGAACCCCGAUCUCACAAUUCCAGAGCAAAAAUGUUCACGGGGAGAGAACGAUGGAUUCAGGAGAGAGUGAGCAGCGGUUCGGCUACAUGACGGGAUUGUCGUCAGCCCUUUUAUGUGUCACAAUAAAAACUCCCCGGAGAACCGGAGAGUCCACGUGA